UCCGGCUUAGCUCAGUCGGUAGAGCAGGCGGCUGUUAACCGCCGGGUCGGGGGUUCGAGUCCCUCAGCCGGAGCCA
rnacentral:tRNA from 1 species